GUGGGGAAUAUUGGACAAUGGGCGAAAGUCUGAUCCAGCCAUGCCGCGUGUGUGAAGAAGGUCUUCGGAUUGUAAAGCACUUUAAGUUGGGAGGAAGGGCAGUAAGUUAAUACCUUGCUGUUUUGACGUUACCGACAGAAUAAGCACCGGCUAACUUCGUGCCAGCAGCCGCGGUACUACGAAGGGUGCACGCGUUAAUCGGAAUUACUGGGCGUAACGCGCGCGUAGGUGGUUUUGUAAGUUGGAGGUGAAAUCCCCGGGCUCAACCUGGGAACUGCCUCCAAAACUGAAUGACUAGAGUGCGGUAGAGGGUAGUGGAAUUUCCUGUGUAGCGGUGAAAUGCGUAGAUAUAGGAAGGAACACCAGUGGCGAAGGCGACUACCUGGACUGAUACUGACACUGAGGUGCGAAAGCGUGGGGAGCAAACAGGAUUAGAAACCCUUGUAGUCC
rnacentral:rRNA from 1 species